rnacentral:rRNA from 1 species
UACGUAGGGGGCAAGCGUUGUCCGGAUUUAUUGGGCGUAAAGAGCGUGUAGGCGGCUAGGUAGGUCCGUUGUGAAAACUCGAGGCUCAACCUCGAGACGCCGGUGGAAACCAUCUAGCUAGAGUCCGGAAGAGGAGAGUGGAAUUCCUGGUGUAGCGGUGAAAUGCGCAGAUAUCAGGAAGAACACCCGUGGCGAAGGCGGCUCUCUGGGACGUGACUGACGCUGAGGAGCGAAAGCCAGGGGAGCAAACAGG